rnacentral:lncRNA from 1 species
AGAGAAAAUUAGAAACGCCCUUCCUAAUUCAGAGGACCUUGCAAAAUUGACGCCUGACUUUGACAAGAUUGUUGAAAGCCUCAGCUUAUUGAAAGACUUUUUCACCACAGGUUCACCUGGAGAAACAGCAUUUAGAGCAACAGAUCCUGGAUCUGAAAGUGACAAGCGUUAUAGAAAGGAGGUAACAGUUAAUUUCAACUAUCUUCACAUAACUGCUUCAGUAACAGACAUGGAAGGAAAGUGAGGUGUCACUAGAAAGAGGCUGCUUUUCUUAUAAUAUAAUAGAUAUUAGAGUAUUGACCAUAUGAUUUGUAUAUACAUAUAAGCAGUUGGUUAGGGAGGGGUGUUUAUGCUCUAAAUAAAAAACAAUCCUUUGCCUGAUAGACCAGCACAGUUAAGAAAUGUGAAAUAUUUUCUUACUGCUUUGGCAUUUUAUAAAUACUACUGAUACUAUGAUAAUUAAAGUAUAGGUACACUCAUGUGUAAGCCAACAUGGGAAACCUUCUUUAAAAGGCAGUUGUUUUGAGAAAUCUAAACACUUGAAUGAUUAGAAGAAGUGAUCAUGAUAAAUUACCAAAUGAAUAAAAAUAAGAUGGGUUACUUUUCUUUUUGCUUGGUGAAAGGCAAUGAUACAAAAAAAGGAGGCGCAAAGGACAUAAAAAUUAUGGAAAUGAUGAGAGUAGUGAUGAGGGGCAUUGCAUUUCUUUGAUAGAUUUAUCAAUGACCGUAAAAGCAUUUGUUUAAAAAAUACAUUUUAAACAAUAACUGCACUUUUUAUAAGUAUAUUUUUUACUAUUGAAUUUGGAAACAGGUGUUGAAAUUUCAGUUAUGUUACUUGCCACUUUGAUGUUCUCUUACUUGUCAUGCAGAAAUAUCAACUAGUUUCAUCCUUUGAUUUAUAGUAAGUCAACCAGUUUCAUUAUUGUUGGUAUAGCUUAAUGUAUUAAAACUAGGAAUCAAACAAAAAUCUCUCAAAUCGUGUGCUGAUAGUUUCCCUUAAUUUAAAAUGCUUUGCUAUGAUACAGUUUUUCUGUUUGUAUUUCUUUUCUGGAAAACUUUUUUAUUUAUAUUAGUCCUUGGAUUAUGUAAACUAAGUUAUUAACCUCUGGGGGAGUCUACCAAUUAAAAUUUGAAUAUGAUGUUAUCCAGUGGUUCAUUUUAAGAAACUUUAUAAUUGUAUUAUACAAAAUAAAAUAUUUUUGGCAAUUAUUUUAUAAAUCUGUGAAGCUGUUUGAAACUCCUAAUUUAGAUUAUUUUAAAGUAUUAGUUUUCCUCUUUGUUUUUGUAAUUUGGUAAAAAUUGAACCCAUUGUUCUCCCAGAAAACUUUUGUUGUGCAAAUUAAAGAGCGACUUCAUUC